UCAGGGGCCGCGAGGCCGGCGAUCCUUCUCAGGGGCCCCUUGCUCAGUGGCAGUAGGUGUCCCCCCAGCCAUCGGGGGAGAAAUGACCCCAGCUGGGACUUCCCUGGUGGCGCAGUGGUUAAGAAUCCACCUGCCAAUGCAGGGGACUUGGGUUUGAGCCCUGGUCCGGGAAGACCCCAUAUGCCACAGAGCAACUAAGCCCGUGCGCCACAACUACUGAGCCUGCACUCUAGACCCUGCAAGCCACAACUACCGAGCCCACGUGCCACAACUACUGAAGCCCGCGCGCCUAGAGCCCGUGCUCCGCAACAAGAGAAGCCACUGCAAUGAGAAGCCUGCGCACCACAACAAAGAGUAGCCCCCACUCACCGCAACUAGAGAAAAGCCCAGGAGCAGUGACGAAGACCUAACACAGCCAAAAGUAAAUAAAUAAAUAAAAUUUAAAAAAUUAAUUUAAAGCAUGAUCUCAAUGAAAUAUAUAAUAAAUGCAUAUUCUACUAUAUAUGUAUACAUAUGGAAGAAUUCUACUAAAAUGUUAAUAAUCUGAGAGUAAUAUCUCUCAGUGGUGGCAUUAUUUAUGAUUAUUAUUUUCCAUAUUGCACAGCUUUUACUUUUUAAAGUAUUACUUUUAUGACCAAAAAACAAAAAAAAAGAAGAAAUCAUAUAAGUUAAAGUAAGCAAAAU